GGCUUGAUGGUGUAGUGGUAACACAUCCUCUCAACUUUAAUAAUUGGUAAGUAAGAAGUUUCUGAGGAGAUGUCUUGUUCGAAUCAAGGCCAAGCCA